CCUAAUUAGUUGGACUUUAUAUUAUUAUUUGAAAGUUAUUGCUACUGUGCAACCUAAAGUGAAAUUUAAAAGGCAAUAAGCCCACUCGCAGUAUAUAUAGUUUUCGCAGUGCUAGUUAGUUGAGACAAAGUACAUCUGAAUUCACAGUAUCCUACAAGGCAUACGUAACAGUUGGUUCUGGACUCAUAAAACUAAAAAGGUCACUGAAAUUUUUGAAGCGUUUAAUAAACUGCUAUCAGACCUCAGAACCUUUUUCUUGUCCGGAGUCAACACACACCAAUGACCGCGGAUUUUGUAAGGUUCAAUGGCGCAAACAAUAAGAAUUAAUCACAUCUACCAGAGAUGGAGUAACACAGAAGAGCUGGCAGCAGCUUUCAUAGUGAUAUGCAAAAGCACGUGAUCAGCUGGUGGCCGAUCAAUGAGAAUGGCAGGAUGAGAUUCAAAGGUCGGUUCUUCAACUGUUGUAUGAUCAAAGUUUAUA